rnacentral:rRNA from 1 species
AUUGAACGCUGGCGGCAGGCCUAACACAUGCAAGUCGAACGGUAACAGGAAACAGCUUGCUGUUUCGCUGACGAGUGGCGGACGGGUGAGUAAUGUCUGGGAAACUGCCUGAUGGAGGGGGAUAACUACUGGAAACGGUAGCUAAUACCGCAUAACGUCGCAAGACCAAAGAGGGGGACCUUCGGGCCUCUUGCCAUCGGAUGUGCCCAGAUGGGAUUAGCUAGUAGGUGGGGUAACGGCUCACCUAGGCGACGAUCCCUAGCUGGUCUGCGAGGAGUACCAGCCACACGGGAACGAGAACACGCCCCCGACCCCGAGGGGAGGCAGCGGGGGGGAAUUUUGCACAAGGGGGCGAAGCCGGAUGCAGCCGUGCCGGGGGAAGGAAGAAGGCCUUGUGGUUUAAAAGCACUUCCAGGGGGGAGGAAGGAAGUAAAUUUAAUACCUUCACUCAUUGACGUUCCCCGAAGAAAAAGCCCCGGCUAACUCCGUG